rnacentral:lncRNA from 1 species
CUCCGACGAUGAGCUCAUUGCUGAGUUAAUUUGAUUACAUAUCAGAUGACUAUGUACCAUUUGCUUACUUGAGUUCCUUUCCUUUGAUCAAAAAACAUACCGAUCCACGUUACUCGAAUACUCCCUAGCUAGACUGAGAGAUGCUACAUAAUAAUAUCCCCAAUAAACACCCCCAUCAGCAAACCAUCAGAAGUGCUACCACUCCUGAUCCGAAG